UGCCAGACUCGAGGGUAGACAAAUACUGCUCUGCUUAACAUAUUGUUUAGCUACAGCUUUGAGCGCUGGAUGCCCUGGCGCGAAGUUCGUGUGUUGAAUCUUUCGUUUGAACCAUAUUCAAAUGUAUAUAUAUAAUGAGAAUACACAACAAUUAACAAAGUUCGUGUUAUACAUUGUGCCAUCGGCCACAACAUUGUAUCGUCUAUGUAGGUCUAUAGACCUGGUGCUGAUGGCUGAAGAUGCUGCAGUGCCUACAAUUGAACUACAAUCGCCGCCUCUCGUCACUUAAGGUCAAUGAUAUGCCAAUGCUGACCGCAUGCCCGAGCGGACCUCUGAUCAUUAUGCUGAUGCCUGACCUUGCCGCAUUGUCAGUUUGACAAAUUUGUAGCACCCCAGUUAGAAAAAUUGCCACUUAAAAUCGGUCGCGAUGUGACCGGAUGCGGAGCUAAGCAACUCGCUGCCUCAACUUGCGGCGAACUUAGACUUGAACAGCGACUUGCAGCAGCUGCCAAAGGCGAAGGUGUUUACAUAGCUAGCUCUACGUUUAUUUGACUUUUGACUUUCCGUGUACGCAUUAUGCAUAUUUAAAAUUCGUACACUUGUCAAAAAUAUCAAGAGCUUUCACAUGCUUAAACCAGCAGUGGCCUUAACCUUAAUUUAUUUAAAGAACGUUCAAAUUCCCUAAUGCGCUUUGUGAUUUUCGAUUUGUUACUUAUAAAAAGAAUUUCUCACAUUAAAGAAGCCUAAGCUGUCAUUAUCAUCACUA
rnacentral:sRNA from 1 species